GAUGGACGCUGGCGGCGUGCCUAAUACAUGCAAGUCGAGCGAACGGACGAGAAGCUUGCUUCUCUGAUGUUAGCGGCGGACGGGUGAGUAACACGUGGAUAACCUACCUAUAAGACUGGGAUAACUUCGGGAAACCGGAGCUAAUACCGGAUAAUAUUUUGAACCGCAUGGUUCAAAAGUGAAAGACGGUCUUGCUGUCACUUAUAGAUGGAUCCGCGCUGCAUUAGCUAGUUGGUAAGGUAACGGCUUACCAAGGCAACGAUGCAUAGCCGACCUGAGAGGGUGAUCGGCCACACUGGAACUGAGACACGGUUCAGACUCCUACGGGAGGCAGCAGUAGGGAAUCUUCCGCAAUGGGCGAAAGCCUGACGGAGCAACGCCGCGUGAGUGAUGAAGGUCUUCGGAUCGUAAAACUCUGUUAUUAGGGAAGAACAUAUGUGUAAGUAACUGUGCACAUCUUGACGGUACCUAAUCAGAAAGCCACGGCUAACUACGUG
rnacentral:rRNA from 1 species